UAGGGAAUUUUCGUCAAUGGGGGGAACCCUGAACGAGCAAUGCCGCGUGAGUGAAGACGGUUUUCGGACUGUAAAGCUCUGUUGUAAGAGAAAAACGGCCGACAUAGGGAAUGAUGUCGGAGUGAUGGUAUCUUACCAGAAAGUCACGGCUAACUACGUGCCAGCAGCCGCGGUAAUACGUAGGUGGCGAGCGUUAUCCGGAAUGAUUGGGCGUAAAGGGUGCGUAGGCGGUACGGUAAGUCUGUAGUAAAAGGCGGCAGCUCAACUGUCGUAGGCUAUGGAAACUGUCGAACUAGAGUGCAGAAGAGGGCGAUGGAACUCCAUGUGUAGCGGUAAAAUGCGUAGAUAUAUGGAAGAACACCAGUGGCGAAGGCGGUCGCCUGGUCUGUAACUGACGCUGAAGCACGAAAGCGUGGGGAGCAAAUAGG
rnacentral:rRNA from 1 species